rnacentral:rRNA from 1 species
ACGUAGGGUGCAAGCGUUAUCCGGAAUUAUUGGGCGUAAAGAGCUCGUAGGCGGUUUGUCGCGUCUGCUGUGAAAACUGGGGGCUCAACCCCCAGCCUGCAGUGGGUACGGGCAGACUAGAGUGCGGUAGGGGAGAUUGGAAUUCCUGGUGUAGCGGUGGAAUGCGCAGAUAUCAGGAGGAACACCGAUGGCGAAGGCAGAUCUCUGGGCCGUAACUGACGCUGAGGAGCGAAAGCAUGGGGAGCGAACAGGA